AAGGGGCGGGGCUGGCGGCAGAGGAGGGGCAGCGGGCGUUCCCGUGGCCGGAAGAGAGGAGCGCGGGGGGCCGGUAGUUUUUACUUUUACUGUCGGUAAGCGGAAUCGUCGUCCCUCCAGUGACCCCGGCCACGGCCCGGGAAAGCAGGCCGGAGUGGCCCGGCCGUCCGGCCCCGCGGAGUCACCGCGACGAGCCGAGUCCCCGUCGUUACUCCCGGUUCCCCUCGCUCACACCCUCCCUUCGCCCCACCGCCCUCUGACACUGUCCUCGCAAACCCCUGAAUGCAGCCUGCUCCCUCUGAGUCCUCUGCACCUGAACCUGAGAGGAGAGGCUUCCGGCCGGGAGGAAUGCACAUCCUGUAGGAUUUCAAUCCAUUCCGAGAUGUCCACGCUCAUUUUUAAUCAGAAUAUGGUGUCUCCUGGCCGAUGUCACACGUGCUCCCGUAAACCGUGUGCAUCCUGCUUUGUUUGGGUGCAAUGCUGUGUCCCGCAGGGAAUUGGCUCACACACUUAUGGAGGCUGAGAAGUCCUGACAUCCUCAAUGAGCAGCAACCUGGACACCCGGGAGAGCCAGUGUUGUAAUUCAGUCUGAGUCCAAGUCCAAAGGCAGGAGAAGACCGAUGGCCCAGCUCGGAGGCAAUCAGGCAAGAGGAACCCCUUCUUACUCAAGGGAGAGUCAGCCUUUUGUUCUGUUCCGGCUUUGGAUGAGGCCUGUCCUCAUCAGGGAGGGUAAUCUGCUUCGUGAACUAAAAUGUUAAUCUUAUGGAGAAACGCCCUUAUAGAAACGCUCAGAACAAUGUUUGGCCAAAUAUACGGGCACCCUGUGGACCAGUCAGGUUGACACAUAAAAUCAGCCAUCACAACUAAGACCGUCGCGUGAGUCAGGAUAGCAGGGUGUUGGCGUGUCCUGGCCUUAGAAGCCAGGAAUGAAUCCUGCUCCAUCACUUACUAGAUUGAAAUCCUGAAAGUGACUGAAUGUGUAUGUGCCUCAGUUUACUCAUUACAAAAGUGGGUAACAAGAUUACCUAUCUCCUAGGGAUCGGGUGAGAAUUGCUUGAAUUCGAACUUGGAAUAAUUGGGUUUUAAAUAUUUCAUGUAGAUAAUUAUUAAGUUCACAUGAAAACAGUUA